CUCCCUUCUAGGAGGAAUGGAGCACCUGGGCCUUGCCAUGUUGGUCAGGCCUUGCCCUCUCUCUGGACCUGUUUCCCCAUGUUUACCAAGGAGGGAGAGCUGACCUGGGGCUCUCCGAGACCCAGACAUAGCCCCAAGACCUGACUGGCCAUGUGGGUAAGGCUGCUGACCCACCACGUCCUCUUUUCUUUGGCCUCUUGUCCUGCUGCCCAUGCUUUCCUGGACCGGAUAGGCCUCUCUGUCAGUGCAGAUGUCCCGUAGGGUCCGGGCCCUGUUUGGAGCCAUGAACUUCUGGGCCAUCAUCAUGUACAACCUUGUGAGUCUGAACAGUCUCGAAUUCACAGAGCUGGUUGCCCGGCGCCUGCUACUCACAGGGUUCCCCCAGACCACGCUGGCUGUCCUGUUUGUCACCUACUGUGGCGUCCAGCUGGUAAAGGAGCGUGAGCGAACCUUGGCACUGGAGGAGGAGCAGAAGCAGGACAAAGAGAAGCCGGAGUAGGAGGAAGCGGGUAGUGGGAUGGGCUCUGCUCAGCUAUUCUUGGGCCAGAUGGGGCCUGACCAAUAGAAUAAAAGACUUUUCUACAACA
rnacentral:sRNA from 1 species